ACAGAUUCUUUGCAGAUGUGCUGUUCUUCAGAGCAAGGUUACCUUGCUUGAGUUUCUGGCCUUCUGCCUCCCUGUGCAUCCAGCCAUCUAGAUCAUCAUUGUGUGCUCCACAGGACCCAGUGUUUGCUUUGCAGGGUGGAUAAACAUGCCUUAAGAAUUUUUCUGUGCUUGAAGGUCAAGUCCUCUCUGUUCUAUGGACUUGGCUUCUCUUUCAUACGAGAGCUUCCUGUACCAAGUAUGGAGCGUGCAUAAUAUCUCCACUUUGGUUCUCCUCCUUCUAGCAUCAAUAGCAGAGCACUCAAACUUUGUAGCUUCUGCAAAUUCAACUCGUCCCAUUACUAUCCCAGGCCCGCAGAGAUGUAAUUGCUGCUUCGUCCUCACUGACCAAGUUUAAACCGUCGACUGCAUUAGCCCAUCUCCCACUUUUCCCGACUGAGAUUCUAAAGCAUUUACUCGUGCAAGGAGAGACAUUAGACGCCUUGAGAGGUUGAGGCUCAGUUCCAACU
rnacentral:lncRNA from 1 species